rnacentral:rRNA from 1 species
GACGAGCGCUGGCGGCGUGCUUAACACAUGCAAGUCGAACGGAAAGGCCUCUUUCGGGGGGUACUCGAGUGGCGAACGGGUGAGUAACACGUGAGUAACCUGCCCUUGACUUUGGGAUAACUUCAGGAAACUGGGGCUAAUACCGGAUAGGAGCUCCUGCUGCAUGGUGGGGGUUGGAAAGUUUCGGCGGUUGGGGAUGGACUCGCGGCUUAUCAGCUUGUUGGUGGGGUAGUGGCUUACCAAGGCUUUGACGGGUAGCCGGCCUGGGAGGGUGACCGGCCACAUUGGGACUGAGAUACGGCCCAGACUCCUACGGGAGGCAGCAGUGGGGAAUAUUGCACAAUGGGUGGAAGCCUGAUGCAGCAACGCCGUGUGCGGGAUGACGGCCUUCGGGUUGUAAACCGCUUUCGCUCAUGACGAAGCUUUGUGUGACGGUAGUGGGUAAAGAAGCACCGGCUAACUACGUG